rnacentral:rRNA from 1 species
GUGAACUACUGGGCCGUAUGUGAUGUUAUACGUGGGUGUGAAUCGUUGUUCGGAUUUGUUGGUAGUUAAGCGAACUCAGGUUGUUGCUUAAGUGUUAUGUGAAAGCCGACGGCUUAACCGUUGAGGGUCAUUGGAAACUGGUGAACUUGAGUGCAGAAGAGGAAAGUGGAAUUCCAAGUGUAGCGGUGAAAUGCGUAGAGAUUUGGAGGAACACCAGUGGCGAAGGCGACUUUCUGGUCUGCAACUGACGCUGAGGCGCGAAAGCAUGGGGAGCAAACAGGAUUAGAUACCCGAGUAGUC